GGGCGGAUAGCUCAGAGGGAGAGCGCCUGCCUUACAAGCAGGAGGUCGUAGGUUCGAGCCCCUGCUCCGCCCACCA
rnacentral:tRNA from 1 species